rnacentral:rRNA from 1 species
UAAUACGUAGGGUGCAAGCGUUAAUCGGAAUUACUGGGCGUAAAGCGUGCGCAGGCGGUCGUGCAAGACAGAUGUGAAAUCCCCGGGCUUAACCUGGGAACUGCAUUUGUGACUGCACGGCUGGAGUGCGGCAGAGGGGGAUGGAAUUCCGCGUGUAGCAGUGAAAUGCGUAGAUAUGCGGAGGAACACCGAUGGCGAAGGCAAUCCCCUGGGCCUGCACUGACGCUCAUGCACGAAAGCGUGGGGAGCAAACAGGAUUAGAUACCCUGGUAGUCCACGCCCUAAACGAUGUCAACUGGUUGUUGGACGGCUUGCUGUUCAGUAACGAAGCUAACGCGUGAAGUUGACCGCCUGGGGAGUACGGCCGCAAGGUU